rnacentral:tRNA from 1 species
UACCACGUAGCUCAGCGUAGAAAGAGCGCCGCCCUGCGAAGGCGGAGGCCACCGGUGCAACCCCGGCCGUGGUAGCCA